rnacentral:rRNA from 1 species
UACGUAGGGGGCAAGCGUUGUCCGGAAUCAUUGGGCGUAAAGAGCGCGUAGGCGGUCCGAUAAGUCGGUUGUGAAAACUGGGGGCUCAACCCUCAGAGGCCGACCGAUACUGUCGGGCUAGAGUCCGGAAGAGGCGAGUGGAAUUCCUGGUGUAGCGGUGAAAUGCGCAGAUAUCAGGAGGAACACCAAUGGCGAAGGCAGCUCGCUGGGCCAUAACUGACGCUGAGAAGCGAAAGCAUGGGGAGCGAACAGG